rnacentral:rRNA from 1 species
UACGUAGGGCGCAAGCGUUGUCCGGAAUUAUUGGGCGUAAAGAGCUCGUAGGCGGCCUGUUACGUCUGCUGUGAAAUCCCGGGGCUUAACCCCGGGCGUGCAGUGGAUACGGGCAGGCUGGAGGCAGGCAUGGGAGAACGGAAUUCCCGGUGUAGCGGUGAAAUGCGCAGAUAUCGGGAGGAACACCGGUGGCGAAGGCGGUUCUCUGGGCCUGUACUGACGCUGAGGAGCGAAAGCGUGGGGAGCAAACAGG